ensembl:snRNA
CUGUUGUAUGAAAGGAUAAGUUAGCUCUCUCCUUAACAAAGAUGUAAGAGGCCCUCAGGCCUGACAAUACACAUAUGGUUUAAGGCAUUGCCAUGUACUUUGUGGCACCAAACUAUCGUCUUUA